rnacentral:sRNA from 1 species
CGAGUAACGGAAGUAACAAGUAACACAGAUAUAUAAAUUUAUGAUUUAAGCUGCAACUUGAUGACUCGUGCAACUCAUGCUCCCGUCCUCUCACGACUGCGAUCCCCUCAAGGUCACACUGCGUGCCUGCUUCGAAAAGACCUCCAUCUCCCACUGUCAACCUGCCGGUGUCCACCGUUGCGGACAGAAUUGUACCUGGUGGUCUAGUCCUUGCCGAUAUCUGGGCAGGUCCAUGUCCAAAAGGACGUUGUCAUCGCAUAGUUUGUCAAAACUCAUCAUGAUUUCGCUUAAAAACUAGCGAAUUGCAGCAUGGACAUUUUGGCUAAGUUGAAUGUCCUCAGCCCGGACUCCACAAUGCUCCACAGCACAAUCUGUCUAAACGACUUUGGGUCCGACGCGUCGAACUCGCCGGCCUCUGCGAUGACAGAAGCUCAGCGCUACGAAACGACUCAUAAAAUCUUUUUCCAAUAAGAAAAAAUUUUUGGUUUUGCACAUGAUUUAUUUUUAUAAAAUUGUAUACGUUUAAUCAUUAAUAUUACAAGUAAUUAAUUAAUAUCAAAUAUGCAAUUAGUUAUCAUUUAAUUUCACAUUAUUUAUUUUACUGCGCUGUGUAUGUGUUCAUAAUUGUUUAUUGCUGCCGAUCGAUUCGCAUCGAUGGACUACUUUUAAUUGGUGAUAUCUCGCAAAUUUCUGCAAAUCUUCGUUAAUGUUUUAUUAUUAGGUGUAACGUUUUAUUGACAAAGUCAUGUGGUGUGGGGCAAAGAACAAAAUAAAUAGAGUACGAACUAACCAAAUGAAAUGUGUGUGAAGAUUAAGAAGAAUAAUAAUAUAAUAAGCACCCUCGAUCUGUGCGAUACUACCACAUACUAGAUGAUAUAAAGUUAUCGCCGGGUAGGGGGAGGAGUGGGGCGGAUUGGGCGGUGUACACUUUUGGGUUAUUGUGCGUCUGGACCUCCUCCAUCGUAUUCCCAACGUAAUGGCAAAAGGCUCUCUGAAUCGAUCGAAAGUACACACAAGCAAUGAGCAAAACAAGGACAGGUGAACUAAUCAUAUGCAUACAUAGUACAUACAAUAUAUUUGUUUUACAAUUAAUAAUUUACAAAUCGACAACCAUGGCUGCUAGAGAAAAUCAUAAUUCCGUAAAUACUAAAACCUCUUCGAGAAGGACGCGGGCGGGUUGGAUUGGCUGCUCAUCGAUUUUCGCUAUCGCUGGAUCGUUUUAUCUUCUUUAAACUUGAGUUAUAUACGUAUAUAUGUAUAUAUAUUAUCAUGCCUAGGUAUAUUUCGUACACGCUGUCGUCAUAUACUUUAUUUAAUAACUGUUUCAUAAUGCAAUUUGUGUUCUAUUCCAUUAUCGCGCUUAUUCGGUUAAAGGGAGCCGGCUGCUGAUUGAUUUUCAAGGUUGAUUUAGAUGUCAGUUAAUGUCCGCUCGUUCGGGGUCCCGCUUGUACUCGAACCUAACAGGAGUUAAGAAAACUACUACCUCGUAGUUACCACCAUAAACCACUACC